rnacentral:rRNA from 1 species
UACGAAGGGGGCGAGCGUUGUUCGGAUUUACUGGGCGUAAAGGGCGCGCAGGCGGUCAUUUUUUGUCGAGUGUGAAAGCCCCGGGCUUAACCUGGGAACUGCGCUCGAAACGGGAUGACUAGAGUCCGGAAGAGGCGAGUGGAAUUCCUGGUGUAGCGGUGAAAUGCGCAGAUAUCAGGAGGAACACCGAUGGCGAAGGCAGCUCGCUGGGACGGUACUGACGCUGAGGCGCGAAAGCGUGGGGAGCGAACAGG